UUAAUAGAUUGUGUAUCACGUAUAUACCCUUAAUAAUUAUAUAUUAAUAAUUGAUAAUAUAUAAUCGUCUAUAUCUAUAUAUAAAUAUAAAUAAAAGAAAAAAAACAUGUUGAUUAUAUCAAAAUUAUAGAACAAUUAAGGAAUUUUAACUUAUCAUGGGGAAAGACACGAUUGCUGAUAUAAUAACCUCUAUACGAAAUGCUGACAUGAAUAGAAAAGGAACCGUUCGGAUAGGAUCGACUAACAUCACCGAAAGCAUUGUUAAAAUACUUUUACGAGAGAGUUUUAUCGAAAACGUAAGGAAACAUCGCGAAAACAACCAAUACUUUUUGAUUUUAACCCUAAGACAUAGACGAAAUAAGAAAGAAUCCUAUAAAACGAUUUUAAAUUUAAAGAGAAUAAGUCGACCGGCUCUCUGUUUAAUUUGUAUCAUGAUAAACAGAGAGACUUAAAAUAAACCACCGUGGUAAAUUCUGAAACCCAAAGAAAGAGGAAUAAAGCGCCAUCAUUUAUAGUUUUAUACAAAACGCAUUCAAGAAAUUUUCAAAACUUGUAACAACAUUUACUCCAUUUAAUAAUACAAAUAGUUUAAAACUAGGGCUGAGGUCAUUGAGGGAUUAUUGUUUUUGUGAGAAGUUAAAGAAAGAAUCUUGAAGGUCAAAUUAUUAAUGAAACCUGUUCAACAUGACAGACAAUGUCUUCUGCAAGAAUCUUUCUCCCUCUUUCAAUGAUACAGAUCAAAGUUUAACCAACGAAACAGAACAAAGUACACAUAAGCUUACGUAAUCAAAAUUUAUUAUAUCUAAUUAAUAUAAAAACUAAUUGAAAGUUUGAACGAGGCAAAAGAAUCUCAAGAAUAGAUCACCAACUACAUCAUUAAGAGAACAUCUCAGCUCUUUAAAAUCCAGAGCUUCAACUCUUUUCGCUUUCUUCUUCUCAUCUUUCUUUCUUUUGCAGAAGAAAACAGAGAAACAAAAGAUCUUUCUUUCUUUUCUUUUUUUUACUGCAGGUGGGAUUUUUCUUUUUAAAUUUAAGUGUGUAGAUUAGAACAGUAGAUAGAUCUAAUUGGAUGGUAUAAAACGGGUCCACUUUGUUCUUGGGAAAGAUUCUGCACGCCCACAUGGUGAGAUUAAAAUAGAGUAAUAUUACCCUUCAUCACCUACUUGUGUCCAGAAAGACAGAAAGAGAGAGAGAGAGAGAGAGAGAAAAAAGAAGUGGUGAUGAUAAUAUCAUCUAUGUGAGCAAAAGAAUUUUCACAGCUUUUUGUUUUCUUUUUCCUCAGAAUCUUUUCAUCAUUUAUGUGUUUAUGCACCAGUAAACAGAGAACAAACAAACUCUUUCUAACUGAAAACAGAGCAAAUUAAAUCUUUUGUUUUCUGUCAGCUAUUUACUUCUUCUGAGUGUUUGAAACCCAAAGUCAAAAUUUCUCUUUAUUUCCUGAAAUUCUCUUUACUUUGCUCAAGGAAUCUUGAUAAAAGUAAGUAACUUUUUUUUCUCUGUGUGUGUGGUGUGGGUGUUGUAGUUACUAACUAUUUCUGGAAUUUUGUCGGAAGAUUGUUUUGUUCUUUGGAUACUUAUGUCAUGGAGCAUCAGAAGAUUUUUUUGUUCUUUGGAAACUGAUGUCAUGGAGCAUCAGAUUCUUAAUUUAUAUAAUUCCAUUUUAUCUUCAUUUUUUUUUUCUUCUUCUUCUUAUGUGUGGCAUUUAUUGUCUGCUGGAAAUUUCUAAAAAAUUGUCUUUUAAGGGCUCAAUAAUUGGCCCUCUCGGAGUUUCCAUGUCCAUUGGGGAAUAUUGUACUUGAAGCUGAUGUUAGUACUUGAUGAAAAUCCUCUUUCAAGUCAACUCUCUAGCUUUUAUAUAUUUAUAGCCUCUCUAUGAUUUUCACAACCUCUCUUAAAAGUCUAUUAUAUACAUGUUGAAAUGCACUUUUGAUCUUGCAGUUGACAAAGACUGAGUUUUGCUCUUAUCUUGUUUCUUCUCUUCUCUUCUUCUUGUUGGGUUUUGAUCAUGUUUCUGCAACCUUUGCAGAUGGGUUAUGUAGACACCGAGGAAAGGAACCUUAAGGGGACCUCAAAGACGCUUGUUCUUGCCGGUUCAUGAAGAAAAAUUCUUUGAGAAAGUUGAGAGUUUUGUUACACUUCUGGUGGAUGCAAGAUUGAGUUGAAGAAAAAGAAGAAAAAGAGAGAUUCUUUUGAUAUGGAAGGUGGUGGUGGUGGAGAUGGCGGUUUCUUACCUAAUUCUAGCUUAGGUGCAUUCUCUGAGACGGCUAUGGAUAUGGAUUUCAUGGAAGAACUCUUCUUUGAAGGAUGUUGGCUUGAGACAACAGACAGUAAGAGCUUGAAGCAGACGGCAGGACAAUCAGUUUCUGAUUCUACCACCAUGAGUGACAACAACUCUUUCCUUUACGGUUAUCAAUUUGCUGAGAACCCUUCGCAGGAUCAUAUCUCCAACGAAGAGACUGGGAGAAAGUUUCCUCCACUAACACCGGGUUUUCUCAAGAUCGAAGAUCUCGCCAAUCAACCGGUGAACCAAGUAUCUUUUGACCAGCCUGCAGCUAUGAGUUCUGCACAAGCAGAGAAGUUUCUCCUUGAAGAGACUGAGGUAGGUAGAAGAUGGUGGAUUGCUCCAAGAACAAGCCAAGGCCCUUCUUCAUCGGUGAAAGAUAGACUGGUACAAGCUAUAAAGGGUCUUAACGAGGCGGUGCAGGAUAAAGACUUCCUCAUUCAGAUAUGGGUGCCAAUUCAACAGGAAGGCAAGAACUUUCUAACCACUUUGGAGCAGCCACACUUCUUCAACCCGAAAUACUUGAGCCUUAAGAGAUACAGAGAUGUCUCAGUUGCAUAUAAUUUCUUGGCUGAUGAAGAUUCCAAGGAGUCUGUAGGUCUCCCUGGCCGUGUUUUCCUUGGGAAAUUACCUGAGUGGACACCUGAUGUGCGGUUCUUCAGAAGCGACGAGUAUCCUCGCAUCAAAGAAGCACAGAAAUGUGAUGUUCGUGGAUCAUUAGCCCUUCCUGUGUUUGAAAGAGGUAGUGGGACUUGUUUGGGUGUUGUUGAGAUUGUCACAACAACUCAGAAGAUGAAUUACAGGCCAGAACUUGAGAAUAUCUGUAAAGCUCUCGAGGUUUUUCUCUUCCCCUUGAUUCUAUAGUAUCAUCCUUCAUUACCAUAUUUUGUAGCCUAAAGAGGUUUCUGUGUUUUGUAGGCUGUUAAUCUAAGAAGUUCAACGAACUUGAAAUCUCCAAGCAGAGAGGUUUGUAAAAAUGGUCUUCUAAACCAAAUCAUUUGUUAACACACACAUAAACCUGUCGCUAAACGUAUGUAUGCCCAUUGUUUCAGUUCCUGCAGGUAUAUAACCAUUUCUACCAUGCCGCAUUACCUGAGGUAUCAGACUUUUUGACAUCGGUAUGCAGAUCAUAUGAGCUGCCUCUGGCUUUAACGUGGGCACCGUGUGCUCGGCAAGGCAAAGGUGGAUCCCGCCAUUCUGAUGAGAACUUCUCUGAGUGUGUUUCAACUGUAGAUUCUGCUUGCUUUGUCCUCGACGAACUGAGUCAUCAUUUCCUAGAGGCAUGCUCUGAACACCAUCUUCUUCAAGGAGAAGGCAUUGUUGGAAAAGCAUUCAAAGCGAUCAAGCUGUUUUUCGUGCCCGAAGUAACCACUUUUAGCAAGACCAACUACCCUCUUGCACACCACGCUAAGAUCUCUGGUCUACAUGCUGCUUUAGCAGUCCCUUUGAAAAGCAAAUUCAAUGGUUCGGUUGAGUUUGUGUUGGAGUUUUUCUUUCCAAAAGCUUGCCUUGACACCGUGGCUCAACAGGAAAUGCUCAAGUCACUGUCUAUAACCCUGCAGCAGGAUUUCAGGAGCCUGAAUCUUGUCAUUGAUAAAGAUCUAGAGCUAGAAGUGGUGUUUCCUGUAAGAGAGGAAGUACUUUUCUCAGAGAAACCACUUAUUAUUGAUGCAGAAACAGGAGAGAAUCUGAAACCUUUGCCUUUGGAAGAGAUAUCUCAGGAAGAUUCCUCAUGGAUCUCACACAUGAUAAAGGCUAACGAGAAAGGUAAAGGCGUGUCGCUUUCAUGGGAGUACCAGAAAGAAGAGCCAAAAGAAGAAUUCAUGCUUACAUCUGGCUGGGACAACAACCAGAUUGGCCAAGGCCACAAUAACUUUCUUUCAGACACUGAGCAGUUUCAAAAGGCUUCAAACUCAGGACUCAGACUCGACAUAGAUCCGAGUUUUGAUUCAGCAUCCUUUGGUGGGGGACAACCAUUAUUAGGCAGUAGAAGACCAGGUGAGAAGCGAAGAACAAAAACAGAGAAGACAAUCGGCUUGGAAGUUCUUAGACAAUACUUUGCAGGAAGCCUCAAAGAUGCAGCCAAGAGCAUUGGUGGUAAAGAAAACUACUUGUUAUAUUAAUUAUGUCUAUUUUGUCAACAGUGAUGAUGAUUCACACGGUUUUACUUUCUUAUGUUUCAGUUUGUCCAACGACCUUGAAAAGAAUAUGCAGGCAACAUGGGAUAACAAGAUGGCCUUCCCGGAAGAUCAAGAAAGUGGGGCACUCGUUAAAGAAACUCCAACUUGUUAUAGACUCUGUUCAAGGCGUUCAAGGCUCUAUCCAACUUGAUUCAUUCUAUACAAGUUUCCCAGAACUAAGCUCUCCCAACAUAUCUGCUACAGCUACUGGCACUUCCUUCAAGAACAGUGACCAGUCAAGGCAUUUAAGUGCUCAAACCGAGAACGGUGUAUCAGCACAGGGAAUUGCUGCAGCUCCAAGGUCGCCACCAUCAUCUUCUUGUAGCCACAGCUCUGGUUCAAGCACCUGCUGCUCAACUGGAGCUAAUCAAAGUACCAAUACUGCAAACACCUCAAACACCUUAACCACUCUGAUGGCUGAAAAUGCAGGCGCGAUCUUGAAGAGAGCUCGUAGCGAGGUAAGGCUCCAUACUGUUAAUUAUCAGGACGAAACAAGGUCUCUCUCUAGAACCAUGAGCCACAAAACAUUCAGCGAGCAACCUCUUUACGAAAAUCUACCUCGGUUACCAGAGAGUCGAAGCAGGAGCUUGAAAGCUGGAGGCGCAUCUAAAGUGAAAGCCACGUUUGGUGAGGCCAAAGUACGGUUUACUUUGCUCCCGAACUGUGGCUUCAGAGAGUUGCAGCAAGAGAUCGCUAGGCGUUUUAACAUAGAUAAUAUUGCACCGUUUGAUCUUAAAUACCUGGAUGAUGACAAGGAGUGGGUUCUGCUGACAUGCGAAGCGGAUCUUGAGGAAUGUAUCGACAUUUAUAGGUCAUCACAGAGCCGCACGAUCAAGAUCAGCGUUCACGAAGCUUCUCAAGUCAAGCUUGGAGGUUCUUUUGGUAGCACCGGUCCUGGUCCUUCGUGAUUAUAAGCAAUGAGGUAAGGUUAUUGCACCUGCAAAAGAGACAAAGAAAGAUUCGACUAAUUUACUAAUGUGUUAGAAAAUUAUUACUCACUCACCAUUUUAUAUAGCCUGGGCAACGUUUGUAAACAUAUUUUCAGUGGCCUGGAUCAUAUACCAUUUUGCAAGCAGUAGUAGUCGACUGGUUUUCUGCAUCGGCUUAGCAGAUUUUUUGUAUAAUAAGCGAUGCAUACCAGAAAUAUGCUUAUAUAUGUGUAUUUUUAUCUUCUGUACAUCAUUUGUCAACUGGAUUCUACUAAGCUUUGCAAGUAUGUUAUAUUGUAAUAUUUCCUAGUUUCUUCAUUUCUCACUUUUUCUUUCUUACCAAAACACAUGGAAACAUUAAACUUGUUUGAAAAUUUAGUCAUGCAGUUUCGGAGUUUCCCUCUUUCCAUCUUCUUCAGCAGUAAAUAGCUAGGAGAGUGUUCUGUUUUAAAUCAAAAGGUUACUGCGUACAAAUAUUUUAGUGAAGAAGGGUCCUGGGAAGAAAACCUGGAAACAUCUCUACUUGUAGCUAGGACUCUAUCCGAUCCAUUCAACUGGUAUAUCCAGACAGAGAAGCUUUUGUUAAAGGAGUUAAGCUCAAAGAUCUAGUACAUAGUUAUUCAAUAUAUGCACAAACAUUCAAGCCAUGUCAAGAAAAUUUGGGGAACAUGUCUAGUUAUACAACACUGGCUUGUAUUCAAGGAGAGUCACAAUUCAACAGAAACAAGAAAUCGCUGUACCAGUUUGAAAGUAAGAAAUGGAUAUAGACAUUUCACCUGUAUAAUAGACACAGAUAGAUGCUGUUCUUGGCAGAAAAAGGAGAGAAGAAUAUAUUCACUUUUAUUGUGAGGACACAGAAUAUUUUUGCAAGAGGGAUAUUGAUACUGAAUCUAUCACGACCACCUUAACUUGAAAGUCAAGAGAAAACAUAAAAAACUUUGGAGGUCUUUCUCUACGUAGAUUGGAUUUCUAACCAUAACCCUUUUUCAAAUACUUUUAUCACAACAAGUCUUGUUUUUUAAUAAUGCUUAUUGUCAUGCAACAACAUAUAAUACAUGAGAAUGGAAACAUUCAUCAAAAAAGCAAGCUAUAUCAAUCUAAGAGUAGAAAAUUCGAGGGUGCGAGUGAUGAUUUUGCAAAAGCGGUCUCAUGCUCAAAACACGAAGAAGUGUAACUGGGUUUUAGGAUUUUGGGGCAAUCGUGUAAAUACUUGAAGUGAUGAUUUUGCGACUGUGGUUCUACAAGAAAAAUCAAAUUAGUUUCGGGAAAAUGUCAAAGAGGUAAAACGAUGCAGGGGGUAGUUGUAUAAAUAUCUGAAAUUGAUGAAUUUGCAAAUGCGAUCUGAUAAGAACAUAUCAAAUUUAUUAAGGGAAUAUAUUAAUGAUGUAAAAGAUUUUGGGGGCAAUUGUUUAAAUACUUAAAAUUAUACAAUAAACGGGUUUUCGUCCUCCUCCAGCUCCAAAGGCCAAAAGGCGCAUCAGUCUUCUUCCAGAUUCAAACAAUCUUGCAGCGAAAAGAUGUCUCGCCGAUCGCUGACUCUCUUGAAGAAUCUAGCUAGAAGCGCGAAUGGUUCAGCUAUCCAGACCCGAUCCGUGACUUACAUGCCCAGACCCGGCGAUGGAGCACCACGCGCCGUGACGCUGAUUCCCGGCGACGGGAUCGGUCCGCUGGUGACGAACGCCGUGGAGCAGGUGAUGGAAGCGAUGCACGCGCCGAUCUACUUCGAGAAGUACGAUGUGCACGGAGAAAUGAGCCGUAUGCCACCGGAAGUGAUGGAGUCGAUACGGAAGAACAAAGUUUGCUUGAAAGGUGGGCUCAAGACUCCAGUCGGUGGUGGUGUGAGCUCGCUCAACGUGCAGCUCAGAAAGGAGCUUGACCUCUUUGCUUCUCUGGUCAACUGCUUCAAUUUGCCUGGUUUACCAACUCGCCACGAAAACGUUGACAUCGUUGUGAUUAGAGAGAACACCGAAGGCGAGUAUGCUGGGCUCGAGCACGAGGUUGUUCCUGGUGUCGUCGAGAGCCUUAAGGUGACUAUUAUCCUCAUGAGAAUUUUCGAUUUUCUUAUAGGAUUAUGGCCUUAUGCUAUGGUUUUUAGUGUGAUUUGGAAGUAGCCUUAUGGUAAUUUCAAUCUGCAAUUUCUCUAUCUCAAUUUUGAAUUUUUGGAAUCUGAGCUUAGUGACAAGGGUUUUAGGAUGCUCUGACAUGUUCUCUAGGGGGAUUUCGAUUGGCAAACUAGAAACGAUGUUGGAUGAACAUUUCGGACUAGGUAGAUAUGAUGGAAUUAUGCCUGUUUCUUCCAUCUUCUUGAACAAGAUCUUGUUAUAGUAAAUUCCAUGAGCUUAUAUUGUGUGUGUGUAUACGCUCUUACACAUUUGCAGAUGCAAGUUUCUUUUCAUCUUACUAUGCAAGUGAUUAUUCGUUUUAUUCAUACUUCUUUUGAUCCUAUCUCUCUCUGUUAGGUGAUCACGAAGUUCUGUUCGGAGCGUAUAGCAAAGUAUGCUUUUGAGUAUGCAUACCUUAACAACAGGAAGAAAGUGACAGCAGUUCACAAGGCUAACAUCAUGAAACUUGCAGAUGGGUUGUUCUUGGAAUCUUGUCGAGAAGUUGCUAAAAAGUAUCCAAGCAUCACCUACAAUGAAAUUAUUGUCGAUAACUGCUGCAUGCAGCUUGUAGCGAAACCUGAGCAAUUCGACGUCAUGGUAUGUUUCACAACUUUUCUUCUAACAAUUACUCAUAUAUGUUGAAUUACUUGUAUCAUGUAUGAAAUUUUCCUGUUAUCCAUUGUCACUUCAUGAAAUUCUGCUUUACGUGAAAAAAUACCCGUCAUCUCUCCCUAGCUAUCUCUGAUCACCUGUUUUAUGGUCAUAUACUGGUAUGGGACUGCCGUCGUAUUUCCAUAUACUAGUUAAAUUCCCCGUUUGCAUAUAAAGAUUUCAUGGAAACUUUUGAAUCGUAGCAGGGCAUUCUCAGUUGAAAAUUGUUUCCCUUGGGUUACUUCCUACUGUUUUAUCCCUCCGGGCUCUCUGCUUUAUAAAUAGAUAGAAUCUGACUGCGUGAAUAUUGAAGUGCUAAAACAUAGAGCAUUCUUCACUGGAGGAGUAACUUUUCACUACUACAUUUAAACCUUUAUCUAUGCUCUCCCUCAUUGAUGUUUGCAGUAGCUUCCUUUUGGCUUUUUCUUUCCUGAAACAGCUUACUUAUUAAACUUUUGCAGGUAACGCCCAAUCUCUACGGUAACUUAGUUGCAAACACUGCUGCUGGUAUCGCUGGAGGCACAGGAGUCAUGCCUGGAGGUAAAAAAAGCCUGUACAGAUAUUAUCAAUUACCCUACUCGAGAUAGAUACAAUAUCUAGAAUACUUCUGAAAUUUGUAUAUAUGCAAACAUAAAAUGUCAAAACAGGAAAUGUUGGGGCUGACCAUGCGGUCUUUGAGCAAGGUGCUUCGGCAGGAAAUGUCGGGAAAGACAAGAUAGUAAGGGAAAACAAAGCAAACCCAGUGGCGUUGCUUCUCUCGUCAGCGAUGAUGCUUAGACACCUUCAGUUUCCUUCGUUCGCUGACCGGCUUGAAACAGCAGUGAAAAGAGUCAUCUCUGAAGGAAAGUGCCGGACUAAAGAUCUUGGUGGACAAAGCACUACUCAAGAGGUCGUUGAUGCGGUCAUUGCAAAUCUAGAGUGACUUUGACAAAUUUACUUUGGUCUCUCUCUCUCUCUCUCUCAAAUUCCUGCUACAGAUUUUCUGUAGCCGAAAUAUAUAUGGGUAUGAUCCACGGUGUCUGGUUUUGUACCUUUGAGUCUCAUUUAUUCUUUAAACGUAACUCCUCGAAACUUUCAAUCAGAUUUUUGUAUUCCAAAUAACUCAUGUUGUUACGCUUGUUGGGUUUCGCCGUCUCAAAAUUAUUGAGAAUUGAAUAAAAAUUGGUUGGGUUUAAAAUCAUUUACCCAAACUCGACAUGUAUUCUACAAUUGGCCCAAAUGAUAUAUUUGGAAUCAAUGUUUAAAUAAUUGCUAGGCGUUAGGCGGAUGGACACUGAUUAAUCAGAAGUGAUUAUUUUUAUAAGUUUUUUCUAGAAUUCAUAUAUUUUUAUAAAAGAGUUACAAAUAUUUUCAUGUUUCUUUUUUCCAUUGUAUGGAUUUUUUAGAUGAAACAAAAUGUAAAUAGGUUGAAUCGUUAAUUGGGAUGAGAUUUAAUUGUUAAUUGAGAUCAGGAUAAUUAGGUUGAAUUGUUAAUAUGAUGUUGUUUUACUAAUAAAUAAUUGGGGCUACACAAAAGCCCAAAUCUUGGCCCAAAAAAAGAUAGAAGCCUAAAUAUUUGUAACAAAUUUUGACCCAUUUUUAUUGGGCCGAUUUUUUGCAUUAUGAGACCGAUUUUGAAUAAAAUUGUUUCUAACCGGUGAAAAAUUGGAGAACCGUCUAGCAGUACUGAUCAGAAGGAAUUAUCGACAGAGAGCCUAAUCGGCCACCUAGGUAACUAAGCGGUCGAUUUUUUAACAUGUGUUAGAAACUUAGAAUCAUUUUAAAUAUAAACACGACUGGUAUAUAAAAUUCCGUGGGACAAACGAAAGCCAAUCCAAAUCCAAAAAAAAAAGCGAGCUGACGUGGCAAAAUUUACAUCAAGCGUCAUCUCUCUAUCUCUAUCUCUCUCCCUCCUUCACCUCUCUCUCUCUCCAACUUGUCGUGAUGGCUUCUCUAAGGCUCCCCGCUCAGCUCGUUACACGUGGCACUCUCAACCACCAUAACUCUUCCUCCGCCGCCUCCUCCUCCUCCUCUGGACGCCUCUCCUGGCGGCGCUCUCUCACGCCGGAGAAUUCGAUUCCGAGCCUCCCAUCUUCCUCAUCCCUUAACCGGAAACCCUCAACGGUAGUCCCGGUUACAUGCAGUGCCGCAGCGGUUAAUCUUGCGCCGGGGACUCCAAUCCGACCAACGAGCAUCUUGGUGGUCGGAGCCACUGGAACACUUGGAAGACAAAUCGUCCGGCGAGCUUUGGACGAAGGGUAUGAUGUCAGGUGCUUGGUCCGACCGAGACCAGCUCCCGCCGAUUUCCUCCGUGAUUGGGGCGCCACCGUCGUCAAUGUAACGUUUUCACUUCUCUUCUGUUUUGCAAGUCUUUGAUUUAUGUCCCAAUAAAGAACUAAACCGGAUUCUCUUUGGACCAGGCGGAUCUUAGUAAACCGGAGUCAAUUCCGGCAACAUUGGUCGGAAUCCACACUGUAAUUGAUUGUGCCACGGGACGUCCCGAAGAACCUAUCAAGACGGUAAACUUCAAUAUUGAUUUUGUGAAUUAAAAGUUUGAUUGAUCUGUAAUUGUUGUUGUUGUUAAAGAUUCAAUUUUGAUUUGUGAAUGUAUCAGCCUAGCGAGACUUAUUCAAGUAUGACUGAUUUGUGUGAUCUUAAGAGUCACUCUCAUGCCUUUGCUUGUUUGUUGAGUGUGGAAUUUGGCUCAAUUUCUGUGUGUUCGGUUUAGGUAGAUUGGGAAGGGAAAGUUGCUUUGAUACAAUGUGCAAAGGCAAUGGGGAUUCAGAAAUACGUCUUCUACUCAAUCCACAACUGCGAUAAGCAUCCCGAGGUUCCUCUCAUGGAGAUCAAGUAUUGUACUGAGAAAUUCCUUCAGGAAUCCGGUUUAAACCACAUCACUAUCCGGUUAUGCGGUUUCAUGCAAGUAAGCCUCCUCCCCUUUUCCUUUACAAUGCAUCUAGCUCUCCUUGACCACUUGUCUUUGCAAAAGGCGGAUGAGAAAAUGAGUAGACAAGUUUCAAGAUUGAAUAGGCUUAAUUCUUGUGUGAUUCUGAGUGCAACAUUCCUCAUAUGCAGGGUCUUAUCGGUCAAUAUGCAGUCCCAAUUCUGGAGGAAAAAUCGGUUUGGGGAACGGAUGCACCAACGCGUGUUGCUUACAUGGAUACACAGGUGAGUCAACUUUGUAGAUGCAAUUCAUUUCUUUGUGUAAAACGUUGGUGAAGCACACAAAAUGAUGUAACAUGUUUUUCAUGCUAUAACAGGAUAUUGCUAGGCUUACACUUGUUGCUUUACGCAAUGAGAAAGUCAACAGAAAGCUUCUAACUUUCGCUGGCCCUCGUGCAUGGACAACCCAAGAAGUAACCGCAGAUUAUCUUCUGCAUGAAAUUAAUAGAGAAUUUUUACUAAAAGCGUAACACCUUUUUGUUUUCAAAAACAUGUCAGGUAAUAACACUAUGUGAGAGACUCGCUGGGCAAGAUGCAAAUGUCACAACGGUUCCUGUUUCCGUGUUGAGAGUCACACGUCAGUUAACUCGUUUUUUCCAGUGGACAAACGAUGUCGCAGAUAGAUUGGCCUUCACUGAGGUAAAACUAGCCUUGUCACCUAAUAAUGGUGCUUUUGCUUCAAAGUAGUUUUCAUCAACUGAAGUCACGCUUUUUGAAAAUCUAUGUGGCACGGUCGUAUUUAGGUUCUCUCGAGUGACACUGUCUUCUCUGUUCCGAUGACCGAGACUAAUAGCCUACUGGGUGUGGAUCAAAAGGACUUGGUGACGCUAGAGAAGUACUUGCAGGAUUACUUCAGCAACAUACUUAAGAAACUAAAGGAUCUAAAGGCACAAUCCAAGCAAUCAGACAUCUACUUCUGAGUUCUUACCUUCUUGUGUCUUAAUAAGAUUCAAUACUGUUAAAAAAACACUGCAUUAUCAUCGCAUACUGUGAGCUUCAUUGUUGCUCUGUUCUACAAUGGUUAUUGUGCUGCCUUUUGUAAUUAAAGAAAAUUAUUGUAAUGUAAAUGUAGCUUGAGGUACCCAUAGAGAUUCUUUGUUGUCUUGAGGAUAAACCAGCAAAGUGAAAAGAAAAUGAGGUUCUUUGUAGCCAAACAAGCCUUAAAAGACUUUCAUUCAUGUAAUGACUUCAGCUUAUCAAUGAAGAAUGGGUUGAAAAAAAUAAUAAUGGAAUCUAUGAAAAUUUUAUAAUCAAAAAUUUAUAAGAUAACAGUCGUAUUUUUUUUAAUAAUUUUGAUUAGAAAUUAGCAAAAUGGAGUUUGUGGUUAUUUUUUUUAAUAAUUUUGAUUAGAAAUUAGCAAAAUGGAGUUUGCUCAACCACGUAUUUUUAUAUUGCCUCAAAUAGUUGGCGGAUAAUCAAAAUGUAUACCUCAAAUAGUUGGCGGAUAAUCAAAAUGUAUACUGGUGUAGAGCUCUAAACUGUCAACUUCCAGACUCUGAUGUCGCAUUCCUCUUGCGCACAUAUCACUCUUAUGUAAGAGUUGUUGUACACAUCCAUGGAUUUGAAUUUCAUGGAGCUAGUAUCUCCCUUAUACACUCUUUUAGUCUGAAGAUUAAGUACAUCCAGUUCCUCCAACAGCCCAUGGCCAAUGCUGCAAGAGAACAGCCUGCAGCUUUUGGAAAAAAAUCAGACAUCCGUAAUUUCUUCAGUUUUGUAGAAUACCCUAAUGCCCGAUUGCCAUAUGUUCUCCAUGGUGUGUAAUGGUGACCACAAGUUCAUAAUUUAAUACCUACAAGUAUAAUAGAAAGUGAGAUUCGAGAGAGAGAAAGGUCGUUCGAUGGAUGAUCAAUAACAUAUUCAGAUAAGUUGAGUUGCAAUGGAAACUCCACAUGUUUCUGUAGUUUAUGAUUUUCAGAGUGGUUUGCUACAAAUCGCAUUUGUAUUACCAUUAUUCUGGGUGGUUUCGUCUGAAAAAAAAAAACAUUUUUUAAAUAGUUUAAUCAAUGUUUUACUAGCAUUUUUUAUUUCCAUUUCACUUUUUAUCUCUUCAAUUUAUUUUUACGUUGCACAAAAAUUGUCCCUAUUAAUAAUGUGUGGCUUUAAAACUCUUGUGUUUAAUUCUUUUAGUGUGGGCCAUUAACUUGAUGGGCUCUGAUCACAACAAGAGUUUGAGAAAAACAUCAAAGAUCUUGGGGUUAGAAAACUCAAAUAGUUUAACUUUUCUUAUUAAUCAAUAAUGUUUGUGUAGUGUGUAAUGACUUUCUUUUGGGGAUUUGUAUUUUUAGUUCAGGUUGCUCAUUUGAACCAUCCAAAUAUGACCUGUUGUUGCUGUUAGUGCAGCUGAAAAAUACCUUUUAAACAUGUUUUCUAGUUCAGUCCAUCUAAGCUACUUUAUAAUAGAAAUUCAUGAGCUUUAACAAUAUAAAAUUUUCAUAUUUUCAUGUGUAAACAAUAGUGACAGUGUAAUCUUUUUCUCAACCAUUAACGUCUACUUUGGCUCUUCUAAGAACAUUGCAAUCCUGAUCCAUGUUGCUUUUAUCACUUCUGGUAUUUUUUACAACUUAAUCUCAUUAACGUCUUCUCGUAACAAAGUUGAUAGUUCAACACUUAUUUAUUCUGUUUUCCUAAAGCAUCUUCAUUUCAUCUUCCUGAUGUAAUGGAUCAUUGGUCCUCUUUUUGGAACGACCAAUCACUCAUUUGUGAGAUAGAAGGAAGAGAGAAGGAAAAUCACAAAUAGGAAUAAGAAAUUACGUACGCAAGAACCAUAUAUAAUCAAACAUGGAUCUUUCUCUUCUUCUCAUGAGAAAUGGUUGGGGUUGAACAAUAUAAAAUAUAUAUAUAUAUAUAUAUAUUAAAGGAAUGACUGAUCUCAUAAAUUGAAAUCAUCAUAAAUUGGGUCUACACAAAUAUAUGUUGUAACAAUAAGCAAGAACACUUUAGCGUAGUGAGUGUGUGUAUUUCACUAUGCAAGAACAGUAUACGGUAAGUAAGGAUCAAUGAAUGCUAUGUCUUUUGGUUGUUAUUUUUUAAUCAUUUAGCUAAAUGACAGGCAACGGAGAUAUAUAAAAUGAGAUUAGCACGAUGGGAUCGAAGGAGCUCUUAAUAAGAUGAAAACGAUUACCACCACGACAGGUUCAUCCGAAUCGAUUUUAAUUGAUGGGCUUGGCCGGUUUGGAGGAGCUCUACACUUAUACGGAGGAGUUCCUGAAAAUGUGGAGGAGCAUUGACGCAACGUGUUAUGUCGUCUGAUAGGUCGGAGUUUAUGGAGGUUAUAAAUCUAUGGAAAAUAUGGAAAUUGUAUAAUCAAAAGUUUGCAAAAUAACAGUUGUAUUUCUUUUAAUAAACUGAAUUAGAAUUUAGCAAAAUGCUGUUUGCUCAACCACAUAAUUUCUUGUUGCCUCGAUAAAGUUAGAUUUUUAUUCGACAAUAGCAUUACAACUAGAAAAAAAAAAAUAUUUGACUCAUUCCUAACAAUUCCUAACGAACAUUAAAAUGGAAAAACGAUAAAUCAGAAACCCAUAAAUUUCUUAUUAAAAUCUGGAUGAUGGAAUGCAUGCAUAAAAUGACUUAAAAAUAGCUUACCUCGUAGACCUAAGACAAUAUAUUAUUAUAUACACACAUUUAUUUAAGUACUACAAUAAAAUACGAAAUGAAAAGCAUGUGUCUGGUAAACCUUUUUUUCACUAGUGAAAUGUAUGUUACAUGUCACCUGUCGUCGCCCAAUUAUUCUGUGCGGCUGUGCCUGCCUAAUUUCCCCAUCUUCAAAGCCUUUCUGUGUUUUGUUUAUUCUUCCUAUAAACCCUAAAUUCAAUCCGCUUCCAAAAAUGACCAUCACAUUAACAAAACAAUUAAUAUAUCUUACUGACCACAACUUUAUUCCAAAUCCACUAAAUAGUCUUUUAAAAAAUAACCCAAAUAGCAGAUAAUAAAAUAGUUGUAUCACAAUGUGAUAGUGACUAAAUCAUAUAUGUAAAACACGUUAAUAAUGUCCAAUGCCUAAUCCAUCACUAACUUCUACGAUUGCGUUGCGUUUAAGUAUGUCGAUAAAUCAGAAACUAUCAGCCAAUAAUGAGAUGAGAAUUACAUACUGUAUUGAUUUGCAUAUAGUUUGGCCAGAAAUUAAUAACAUAAUAUGAUAGUAGCGAAUUAUAUAUGCAACACAAUUGAAUAUCAGCACCACAAUCCGGGAAUAUGCCUAACAUGAUAUUUUAAUUAUGCUAGUCUUAUGCUUUGUGUUCUAUGCUAUUAUCAUUACAAAAUUCUAUAUUGGCAACAUUUACGUAGUUAUAUGCAAAAACGUAGUUAAAAAAAUUAGUUGUAAUGAUCUAUAAUAGUCAUUAACGAAGCAGAAUUAAGAUUAUGUUUCUUGAUAACAGUGAAGACUAAUUUACAACAUCAUUCUUCAUAUUGUAGCUAAUUUGCAAUAUAAACUAAAUCCCAAGUUAAAAUUUAAGUACGUAACCAUUAUUCGUAACAUGAGCGCAUCGGAUCAAUUAUAACGUAUGAUUAUACAGAUGGUUUAUUUAUAACAAAUUCUCACAAAAAUCAUGUUUGAAAAUUUUCCGCGAUAAAUUUUGUGAAGACAAAAAAAUGAGUGUUGUCACACUGAAAGUAAAUGAAGUAUGCCGAUUAAUCUGAUCCAAAUGAACUAUAAUAGAACUUCAUGAAUACUGUUAUCUGUAGGCGAAUAAAAACAAUAGUGUUAUCUAGAUUCUAGAAUCAGCAAAUUAAAUGGUGUUGAUGAGUUUGAACGUGCUUAACUUGAUAAGCUAAAGAAAGUGAGGAAAAUAAAAAGGUGAAAGGGACAAGAAGAAGAAGACGACGUCACAAUGCAUUAAAUUCAAUGUUUAAUUUAGUUCUGUACUGUUAAAUAUUCCUUCUUUUUAUUUAUUUUUACAUAUUUAUUUGCAUACAUUUCAAGUAUACUAUAAAAUUUACUUCAUCACUCUUUCCCCAAAAUGUAACGAUAAAUUGACUUAUUGAAGUUGUGUAGGGGACCAAAGUAACUUUCUCAAAAUAUCAUUACCUCUGAAUCAACACGGUCUUUAUAUUUGGCACCUAACAUCACUAAGAUUUUAGACAUUUGUCAAAUAAUUUUUCAUGAGGUAAUGAUCUCUAGUAUUUUGGAUUUCAGGUAAGCAUGAAGGAUUUGAUUUAUGCUAAAUUAAACAACCUUUAUUAGUGACUGACUAGUUGGACUUUUAUUCACAUUCCCGUACCAUUUAUUUUAAACGUACUAGUACUAUAUUAUAUAGGGUAUUAUUUAAUCGUUGGUAUGAAUUUGUAACCGUACGUGUGGCAACUUGAAUACUAUUAUGCAUGGCUUACUACUAUAAAUGCCACUUUAACAUACUACAUAUUCUUCUAAUGAACCAAAUCCAUCUCUUUCCUAUGGUUUAAUUUUUAAAUUCACAUUUAAUUGAUUUCAAUUAAUAGCUCUAAAUUAAAAUAAACAUAAACAUAUGAAACCUUCAACCAAUUCAUUUUAAUAAAAAAAACCGGUAUUCUAUUGGAUUCGAACCCAAGUUUUGAACACAAUCACAUCACUUAUAGAAACCACUAAAAUAUGUGUCAUAAUUAUAAAUUAUAUAAAUUUAUCAAUUUAUUCUAUAAGUUCGAACCCAAGUCUUAACACAAUCACAUCACUAAUAUAAGCCAAUAUCUGUAUAUUGGUUGGUAAGCAUUUGUUUUGGUAAAGCUCAGGAGAGUAUAUAGUUUUCAAGGGGAUGAAAAUUAUUUUAAGAGAUUAUUACCAAUUACUAAUUAAAUCUGUUACAAAAACUUAUACAAUAUUAUGAAUAAGAAGAUUCUAUUGGUCUCGUUACAAUGAAUGUUUCUAAAUGGAAAAUAAGUUGUUGGUGAAUUUGGUUAGCAAUAUAUGGAUAUAAAUAUAUGCUUUUCAUGAUAAACUUAAAGGAUUUGUCGAUAUACAAAGAAUGUAUUGCUGGCUUCACCGUUUGACUAAUUGUGUAUGCCAUAUAGACCAUUAGAAUUGGCAAUAUCAAGUGCACUGUGAGAGAUUAUAUUUAUCGAGAAGAUCUCAUGUUGAAAUCCAUGCAUAGGAUAACCCUCUUCAUUGUCUGGGGAAAUCAUAAUUUUUCUUUGCCGUAUAAAACAUCCACAUGACCAACUACUACUGAAAUCAACUGGAAUAACAUUGACCAGUAACGAUAUGGUAUAGAAUCCCAACCAUCUUUUCAGAUAAACCUUUCAUUAUCAUAUUUAAGCAUUUUAUCCUUAAAAUUUGAUAGUUAUCAUGCAUAAUUUUCUGAACCCAAAUGUAUGAUACCAUUAAAAAAUGAAAAUUUGAAUGUACUAAAACGUGAAAAUUCGUUAGUUGAUUACACGUAAAAACUUAAUUUUGUAAGAGAAGAAGAUUCCCUCAUCUUUGCUUUCAGCCCAAAAAAACGUUACAGAACUGAAAAUCCAAAAUUUUAUGGUCUAGAAUAAAAACCUGGCCACUAUAUUCUUUCCAUCCGGAAAACAUGGUUGACUUGUGCAAUUAAAUUUUCGUUGACCCAUACUUGUUAAAUACUUAAAUAUUAGUCUUAAUUACUUUGUAGGGACUUUUUAUUAAUGUAUUUUUGUGUGUUCAGGUAAUAUAUUACAUUUAUAAAAUAAAAGAAAUAAAAUCUAGUCAACGAGAGAGGAAUAACCCUGACGACGUUAGCAUCACACACCUGAAGCCUGAAGUUCUGUUUUGGUAACUACAUCCAUUUAGUUACGUCAUUAGUUUGAACACCUAAACCAACUACAACAAUACAAAUGAAGAUUUUUUUAUUAAUAUUAAAAAAAUAAUUUAUCUCCUUCAACCAUAAUCAAUAUUAAAUUUUGACUCUCUAUACAAUUACUUAUUGGUUCAUUUAUAACAAACAGAAGUCCUGUACAAUUCAUCAUUAAAUUUUUUACGUUACCCGUUACCAUCAUUGUGAUAUUACGGUUUAAAUUGUCCAAAUCAAAAUAAUGUCGUCACGUAAUUAAAUACUAUAGUUAAGGGUGGUUUGGGAAUAAUAUAAAAAUGGUCAAAACGGGUCAAAGUUACCGUCAAAACUGAAAGCCAAAGUUGAAUAGUAUUCCGUUUGAACUUAAAGAUCAAAACUACUCGUAUGUUUUUUUUUUAAGAUCCAUGUCAUCUGUCUGAACCUCUCAAAGUACCUGUCCUAAAAAGUUUUCAUUUUUCAACUAUAACACGGUUUCCCUCCUUGAAUCCGAAUUUCGGUUUAUUAAUUUUCUGAAAAAGAGAUUAGUAAUUUAAUUAAAAAAAGAAAAUGAAGAAUAAAACACCGACUCAUCCUAUGGGAGAAACGGACGAAAAUCUCGGUGCUGGCAAGAUUCCUUUACAGUCCUUUGCUGUUUUUUUUUUUCUCACCUUUUUCCCUUUUGUUUUUUCAGUCUUCUUCUUCUUCUUCUUGAGCUAAAUGAAUCAUUCAAUAUUUAUCUCUCUACUUUAUCUCUUUUUCUUUGCCCUAAACUGAAAUAAAUCUUUUUUAUUUUCUUCUCGAGAAAACAAUCACUUCACACUUUCUUUCUAUCACCAUCAACCCACACCUUCUUUGCCCCUUAUGCGCCUCCAUCUCUUAUUCCUCUCACCUACCUUUCAACUCUCUCUCUCUCUCUCUUUCUUUUUUCCUUUUAAUUUCAUUUCUCUUACCUGAUUUCAAAUCUUCGCUUCCUUUUUUUUUUGUUUCCUUUCUUUUUUUCUUUCUUAAUUUAAAAAUUGUUUCUUUUUUUGUGUGUGUGUGUGGAAUUAUUGAUGGGUUGUACAAGUUCUAAGCUCGACGAUCUCCCGGCGGUUGCUCUUUGCCGUGAACGCUGCGGUUUCCUAGAAGCGGCGAUUCGGCAACGUUACCUUUUAGCCGAAUCACACGUGGCGUACACUCACUCGCUCAGAGGAAUCGGUCACUCUCUCCAUCUCUUUAUCAACCACCACCACCGCUUCGUCGCUUCCGGCGGCGCUACCGCCGGCGGAGAUUCUCCCAGGCUUAAUCUUCCUCCUCAGAGAAAAGGCGACCCUCAAGGAGAAGACGUCGACGACGACGACGGCGACGGAGGAAAUUCCCCCAAAAAAGCAAAAAAGCUACCUUCUUCACACAAACACGCUCUCUCGGGUUCGGGUUCUGAUUCGGGUCAUCUCGAAUUCGAUUCGGAUUCCGAUGAUGAUGAUGAUGACGACGAAGAUGGCCAUUUGGAUUUGGAUUCGGAUCAUUCUCCUCAACACCACCAUCUUGGGAAUUUCCCGAUACACGAGCCCGGCCCAUACAUGGAACCACCGGGUUAUACCCGAUACCCGAACCCGGAAAUGAUGGGUCAUUUUCCUCCUCCUCCUUACUCGGGAGGAGGAAGCUAUAUGCACAUGAAUUACAUGAAGAACAAAUCCAUGCCUCCUUCAGUUAUCUAUGAGCAAAGACCAAGUAGCCCUCAAAGAGUCUACAUGGGCGAAUCAUCCUCUUCUUCUUCCUCUAAUUAUCCUUACAAUCCAUAUCCUCCAAGUUCUUAUUUCGGAUACUCAAAUCCCGGACCCGGACCCGGAUUCUACGGUUCUUCAGCUGCUGCUGCUUCCGCCGCGGCUGCCUCGAAACCGCCUCCGCCUCCUCCGUCGCCGCCUAGGUCUAACGGGUGGGAUUUUUUGAACCCGUUCGAUACUUAUUAUCCUCCGUACACUCCGAGUCGAGAUUCGAGAGAGCUAAGAGAGGAAGAAGGUAUCCCGGAGCUGGAGGACGACGAUUCACAGUACGAGGUUAUUAAGGAAGUUCACGGGAAACCGAAAUUCGCCGCCGGUGGUGGUAAUAAUCAUCCCAAACCCGCCGCCGUUUACAGGGAAGAUCCUCCGUCUCCGCCACCACCAGCUGAUAAAUCCGGCGCCAGCACUAGCGGCGGAGAUGCAGCAGAUGCGUCCAUGUAUCAGUCUAGACCAAGCGUGUCGGUGGAGAAGAAAGGUGUGGAGUACGAAGUGCACGUUGUUGAGAAGACGGUUGUUGAAGAUGCCGGGAACGAGGAAAGACGGAGCAAUGCCACGGCCACACGUGGCGGAGGUGGUGGUGGUGGAGGGCCACGUCCGGUGCCUGAGGUUGCGAAAGAGAUCGAGGAUCAAUUCGUGAAAGCUGCAGAGUCGGCAAGUGAGAUCGCCAAGUUACUUGAAGUGGGGAAGCAUCCUUAUGGUCGCAAACAUGGUAAAUUAAUGAUCUUUCAAUGCUGUUACUUAAAGUUCUCAGCUUUCUGCAACUGAUUAAGUAAAGUUUGAAACUUUUUUGUGUGUGAAUUGGAGCAGUUACAUCCAAGUUGUUGCACGGAGUUACUCCUUCGUUACCUUCUACCUCUGGAGGAUCUUCUGCUGCUGCUGCUGCUGCGCCGCCAAGUUAUGCAGACAUUGAAGAGGAGCUUGCUUCUAGGUCGAGGAAUCUUUCUUCAACAUUGCACAAGCUCCAUCUAUGGGAGAAGAAGCUUUACCACGAAGUGAAGGUAAUGUUUGAUCUUAGAACGUUUGUGAUUCUGUUCUGGUUCUUUGUCUUAAGAAGCUUCUUCUCCUGUGUAGGCCGAGGAAAAACUGCGUGUAGCUCACGAGAAAAAGCUAAGGAAGCUAAAGCGUUUGGAUCAAAGAGGUGCCGAAGCUAAUAAAGUGGAUACAACACGGAAACUAGUGAGAGACAUGUCCACAAAGAUACGGAUUGCGAUUCAGGUUGUGGAUAAAAUAUCUGUUACAAUUAAUAAGAUAAGAGAUGAAGAUCUAUGGCCGCAAUUGAAUGCAUUGAUUCAAGGGUAAAACUUUGCCUCCGAAUAGAUAUAUAUAGAGAGAUAUUUGCAAUUGGAAAUGUUGACUCAAGUUUCUUUUUUUCCUCAGGCUUACAAGAAUGUGGAAAGCGAUGCUUGAGUGUCAUCAAAGUCAGUGUCAGGCUAUUAGAGAAGCUCGAGGAUUAGGCCCCAUAAGAGCGAGCAAGAAACUAGGUGAAGAACAUCUAGAGGCAACGAGUUUGCUUGGACAUGAGCUUAUUAACUGGAUAUUGGGAUUCUCGAGCUGGGUUAGCGCGCAGAAAGGUUAUGUAAAAGAGUUGAAUAAAUGGUUGAUGAAGUGUCUUCUCUAUGAACCCGAGGAAACACCCGAUGGAAUCGUUCCUUUUUCACCUGGUCGGAUCGGAGCUCCACCAAUCUUUGUGAUCUGUAACCAAUGGUCUCAAGCUCUGGACAGGAUAUCAGAGAAGGAAGUUAUUGAGGCAAUGCGCAGUUUCACUACAAGCGUGCUUCAGCUUUGGGAACAAGAUCGGUUAGAAACGACGAUGAUGGGGCAGGGUGAUUCAGAGAAGAGAGUUAAGAACAUGGACAGGGAAGAGCAGAAGAUACACAGAGAGAUUCAAGCACUGGAAAAGAAAAUGGUUCUCGUGGCACAGAGUGAUGGUAAUAAUAGUCUUUCCAUAUCCGGUAACGUUGUCUACCAAAGCGACACUAGCAAUGAUAGUUUACAAGGUAGCUUGCAGCGUAUUUUUGAAGCUAUGGAGAGAUUCACUGCUGAAUCUAUGAGAGCUUAUGAUGAUCUCUUAAUCCGCGCUGAAGAAGAAACUGCUCCACGAGAACUCGAGGAAGAAGAGGAAUAAUAAGCAAAACAGCAGCGAGAUCUUUGCUUUAUCAAUUCAUGAGGUGUUUCAAAGCCGGAAUACUCGGUUAUUCGGUUUAGUAUACCGGAAAAUCUUCUGGAAUCAUCUGUAUCUCCUCACUGAGACUCGGGCAAGAAGAGCUUCAUCAGGAUGAUGAUCGUAGAGGAGGCAGGAACCGGGGCAAAAUGGUGGCCCAGUUGUUCGGUUUACAGAUGUGGUUAAGUGAAAUUGGGUCUGAACCGGAUGGUUUACAUGCCAUGGUAGAGAAAGGUUUGUUAACUUAAUAGUAUACCCACAUAUAACGCAGGUCGCAGAUAUUAGUUGAGUCUAAUAAUUUUAAACUUCGGGUAGUGUACAUAAGAUGCUUAGGACAAAACUUUUGAUAAUUCUCAACAAUUAUUUUGUAAAAUCUGAAGGUAGCUCAGACAUGUCUUUCUUUCUUUUGAUCUCGAUGAAGGGUCAUGUAAUAUUUCUCUGGACUUAAAAUUCUUUUUGUUUCUCAUAAAGACUUAAAAAGUUUGUUCAUUCUGAUAGUAUUGAUACAUUCGGCAAAAAGGGAAAAAAACUAUAACAUGAACUUGACACAAUUCUCUGAAACUAUAACAAGAAGCUCACAAAUUUCUAGUUUUUUUUUCUCGUAAUUCAAAAAUUAUUAAUUGUUACGGUCCAAGGAGUGGCAUAGACGAAGUGUGUAAUAAAACAAUAAUGCAUUUUUGCACUCUCUUUUUGGUAUGUUCUGUUCCCUCAAUUCCAUUCAACAUAAGUUAAGCGCCUUCGUAUUCCUCACUCAUUAAACAUAGUUUGACUUUGAUUUAAUAUAAACUUAAUACUCCAAGUGUUACUGACCAUGGAAGCUAAAUCGAAAUUACCGUAUAGAUAAAAUGCAUCUUCAGAGUUAAGAAAAUAAUGUUUGGAUUCGAAGUGAUCACAUCACACGUCUCUUUUUGGCUUUUCCAUAAACGAUAUAUUCUGCAUCAUUGGGCGUUGGCCCAGUAAAUAACUCACAAUCUCACAUCAAUGAUUUUCAAAUCACUAUUCACUGACCUGUUGUUUUUACCGAACUAUUUGCAGAAACUAGUUUACGUUAAACUACUGACCAUUAUCCAAUACUAAUGUUUCAGAUGCGAAGUUUUAUUCUUUGCCGCAUUUUUCUCGUAUACGCAUUUGCUCAUAGGAAUUUUUUUUUUUAAUAAUACACGAGACAUCAUGUAAUGAAAAAAAAAUGGUGAAUGAUUUACGUUUUUCUCGUCGUAAAAAAGUUUUUGUUCAGUGAAAUGCAAUUAUGCAUAAGAAUAAAUGAUAGUAUAUAGAGACAAACCAUUCCCAAUCAUUAACCUGACCAGCUUCAAACAUUAAUGAUUCAUGUGAAACUAAAAUAUUAAUUACCAAUGGUCCAUUCUUUUUCAACUAGUGUCUGCGCCAAUAGUUCACGUCUUCGAGUUGCCGUGACAAACAUGAUUAGCGUGAACUUGACGUCUCAUGUGCCAAUCUUUUUUUUUUUUUUUGCAAAAUAAUAAAUUGAGAUAAAGUUAUAACAUGCAGAGAAUAAGUGCCAGAAGUUAUUGUUGUGAUGCAACUAUAGGUUAAUGAUGUGUAUUUAUUAUAUAUUAGAGGUUGUGCUUGAGCAUCUAAUCAUAUAAGAAAGAAGCCAAUUACAUUGGAGAAUCUUUGGAUCACUUCACUCUUUGCCUUUUCAGCACAAAGAGACAGCUCUUGUGUUCUUGAAAGCUGAAGCUCUGUUUUCUCCAAAGCUAAUAAUAGGUACCCAAACAUUGCAAGCAUACUUUUCAUUUGCAUACAUCCAAACUGAGAAUAUACAAAUUAUUGUUUUUGCCGGUGAUCAUUGGAGUUUAUUCGUUAUGAUUUGCAGUUUUUAAUUUUUAUUAUUCAGACUGUUGUUCAAUUUUGAAACUAAACCCGUAGAAAACGAAUUUAUCCUUUCAAAAUUAGUAAAGUGAUAUGACAUUUUAUAUUUCUUUCAGGAAAAUUAUUUUAUAGAAUUAUCAAUUCUCUUAUUUUAUAAAGGAAGAAAUUCGAAAAAUUUAUUUCAAAAAUAGUAAUGUAUCAUUUGUAUAUAUAAUAUUAUUAUAAAUUGAAAAAAAUAUAGUAUUUGUAUGUGUGUUCAAACUUCAAACUAAAAUCAAAUGAAAGUAGUAAAUAUGGUGGAUAUAUAAUUGUACGAUGUAGUUUUAGAAAUUUAAAAAUCGUUAAAAUAAUAUAAUAUUUUUGUAUAAUUAGGAGUAGAAUUGAAAGGUAAUCCCAUAUUUGACCAGAAUUUUAGGCUAGCUGUCUUUAUUACAACGCACCGUGUAACCAUAUCCAAUUCAAAUUUGGUGAUACGUAAUAUGCUGUUUGAAUGUUACCAAAUCAUGUUUUAAACAAUUUUGAACAUUUAGCCAUAUUAGUAUAUAGUAUAUAUAUGUUUAUGUGGUUUCCAAAAUAAAUGGUUACACAUUCAGAGUUUCGUUUUUUUCUGUUGGUUUUGAAAGAUUUCUGUUUCAAAAGUAAGCUUCUUAAAAUGCAAAGACUCUUUCCAAAAGAUUUAUUCAAGUUUAUUCUAGGACUUGCACCUAAAAAUAGUAACUUAUUAUGGUGACGAAGUAAUUAAUUAGAACUCAAAUGGAAAGAAAAUAUGUCAGCCUGUCAAAGACUCAAAUCAAAUAAGAAAGUCGAUAUACACUUUAAUCUAAUUAGAAGUAACGACAAUAAUCCAGAAAUAUAAAUUCGAGCGGAAAUGAAAAACCAUAUAAAUCCAAAUAUCACACGGUUUUUCAUUGGUCAACUUUCUAAACACUUCAGAUUUUCUUCACACGCUUCUAUCUUUACACUGUACAAGUACGAACCUUUUGAAAAAAAAAACUAGCUACAACUUAAUAUUGUGGUAAAAAUAUAUAGCUACAGAGAACGAAGAAAAACAACUUGGUUGUGUUGAAAUAAAUAAGAAAAAUCGAGAAAGCAAAAGUAGAAAUGGUUGAUGAUAAGUCACUCCAAUCACAAACACUUUGAGCUGGCAAUAAUGUGAUUUUCCAAAAUCUCUUUUGGUACCACAAAGUGUAAAUCAUUGAACAUCGGAAUCAAUUUAUUGUAUUAUAGUAUAGUGUAUAUACAAAAGAAGUUGGCUUCUUCUGAUUUUUUGGUUUUUCAGUUUGCAAAUCCACUGAUUAAAGAUUAGAGAAUUUAUCGACCCAAAAAAAACAGUGCCAGACUUCAGAGUUGACCUUCUUAAGACAAUGGAAAAAGAAAAGACAUGAACUGAAUUAUCUUUUAAUACUAAUAAACUCUAUAAUUUUACUAGAAGGAUGAUCAAAAUUAUAAAAUCAAUUGCUUAAUUCGUUGAUUUAAUUUGUUUAAGUGGUACCAUAUAGACAAGUAGGAGACAAUCUCUCAGAAACUUACCUCAGGAGUCAAAAAAGACAGAAGAAAAAAAUAAAAAUCCAGUUUUGUAAUUCCACCACUAUCUUCUCUGUCUCUCUCUCUCUCUCUCUCUCUCUCUCUGACAAGGAGCAAAAGAGAAACACUUUCCGACUCGCUUUGUUUCGUGAGAAAGAAUUGUUCAUGGGUUGUUGUCAAUCCUUGUGUCGGGGUGAGAACCCGCUUAGUAAAGAUGGAGCUCAGCCGCUACAACUGUCUCAAAACCACCACGGCGGUGCCACGGCGGCUUCUGGACUCGAUAACGGCGGAAUCGGAGGCGUCGGAGCUGGUGGUGUAGUUGGAGGAGGAGGAGGAGGAGGAGGAGGCAUCCCUUCUUUCUCUGAGUUCUCUUUCGCUGACCUCAAAGCAGCCACCAACAACUUCAGCUCCGACAACAUCGUAUCAGAAAGCGGCGAGAAAGCCCCAAAUCUUGUCUAUAAAGGCCGACUUCAGAACCGUCGCUGGAUCGCCGUCAAGAAGUUCACGAAGAUGGCUUGGCCUGAUCCUAAACAAUUCGCGGUAGCAAAAAAUAAAAAAGAAACCUUUCAAUUGUUCAAUUGAUUAAUCGUUAAUUGAUUUUUUUUCAUGAAAACUGUGUUCCUUCAAUUUUGGUUGCAGGAAGAGGCAUGGGGUGUGGGGAAAUUGAGGCAUAAUCGGUUGGCGAAUUUGAUUGGAUAUUGUUGUGACGGAGAUGAAAGGCUUCUUGUUGCUGAGUUCAUGCCUAAUGAUACUCUUGCUAAGCAUUUGUUCCAUUGUAUGCUUAAUGAUUCUCUCUAUCUGUUUCCCAUUAGAAUGAUGCAUCUCUUAGUGUAUUUUUUAGGCUGUAUAAGUUGAAAUGUGCCUCUAAAGCUUUUAAAUUUAGUCUCUUUUUCAGUAUCCAAUGUUUAGCGAAUUUCAGGGCCUUACAGCUGAAUAUGGUUUAUGAUGUGUUAUAGGGUUCUGCUUGUUAGAUGGAUUAAAGAGAGUUCCUUUAUGUGAUUAGAAUGUCGUAAAGGUUGAUUUUUUUUUUCUGAUUCUGUUGUGUCUUUUGGACAUUCACAGGGGAAAAUCAGACCAUUGAAUGGGCCAUGAGGUUACGAGUAGGAUAUUACAUAGCUGAAGCUUUGGAUUAUUGUAGUACCGAGGGUCGUCCAUUGUACCAUGAUUUAAAUGCUUACAGGGUUCUCUUUGAUGAGGUAUUAUAGAUUUAUUCCAUGCUUACAAGAUUUACUGCAUGGUCUUUAUCUAAGGCGGCACUUUAACAAGUUUGUUUGAGUGAAUAUUGUAGGAUGGUGAUCCUCGCCUAUCAUGUUUCGGCUUGAUGAAGAACAGUCGGGAUGGUAAAAGUUAUAGCACAAAUCUAGCGUAUACACCACCUGAAUAUCUAAGAAAUGGUAAAUCAAUUCUGCAUCUCUCUUAAGAUUAUUACAAUCAGCAUAAGAUUCAAAUGUAUAGUUUUAUUCUUUUGCCUUUUACUAUUGAGUUUGUUCGCAGCACUCAUUAAUGGUUUUGCUCUAUUCCUUUUGUCCUUGAAUAUACAUAUUGCCAUCUCAAUGUUGUCAAUUUUUCUUGUGUAUGUUGUAGGAAGAGUGACACCUGAAAGUGUUACUUACAGCUUUGGAACUGUGCUUCUGGAUUUGCUUAGCGGCAAGCACAUCCCUCCAAGCCAUGUAAGUUCCUUAUCUAUCUGUUUGAGUUAAAAGAAGUGUACUACUAAAAAGUGUUUUCUUUUGGGUGGGAUUAUGUGCUCAUUGGUCAUGAUUUUCCUUUUAAGUGGUUGUGGUUUCUGAGAACUCUAUAAUGCUGCUCCUUCACCGUUUCUCUUAAAAUUAGCUAUAGAUAUGUGCUGUGGUAUUAGUUUAGUGAUAACUCCUUCUUGUAGGCACUGGAUAUGAUACGUGGCAAGAAUAUUAAUAUGUUGAUGGAUUCACACCUUGAGGGAAAAUUCUCAACAGAAGAAGCUACCGUAGUUGUCGAGCUCGCCUCUCAAUGUUUGCAAUAUGAGCCUCGAGAGAGACCCAAUACAAAAGAUCUCGUUGCAACACUUGCACCGUUGCAAACUAAAGCAGACGUAAGCGUGACUGAGUUCUUGAAUUUUGUUGAGUUUAUUUUUCUUCUUCUUGUUCUUGAAGUGUUAAAAAAAUUUCGGUUACAGGUUCCUUCUUAUGUAAUGCUUGGAAUAAAGAAGCACGAGGAGGCGCCUUCAACGCCACAGAGGCCACUUUCACCAUUAGGUGAGGCUUGCUCGAGAAUGGAUCUCACAGCUAUUCAUCAGAUUUUGGUCAUGACACAUUACAGAGACGACGAAGGGACAAACGAGGUAAUUAGAUAAUAGUUUUGGUUUCAGAUAUUAAACAAGGGGCUUAUGUCUUUUAUUUUAACUAACUCUUGGGAUGGAUUUUCAGUUAUCUUUCCAAGAAUGGACGCAACAGAUGAAAGAUAUGCUUGACGCACGAAAACGCGGUGAUCAAUCUUUCCGCGAGAAAGACUUCAAAACUGCCAUCGACUGUUACUCACAGGUAUUGAUUCUAACUGAAUAGAUCCGAAUAAGAAUUCUUUUGACACCUUUCUAUUAGAGCUCAUACGGUUACAUAC
rnacentral:lncRNA from 1 species